AGUGGCGGACGGGUGAGUAACGCGUGAGAAUCUGCCUUGGGGUCGGGGACAACCACUGGAAACGGUGGCUAAUACCGGAUACGCCUUCGGGUAAAAGAUUUAUUGCCCUAAGAGGAGCUCGCGUCUGAUUAGCUAGUUGGUGAGGUAAGAGCUCACCAAGGCAGCGAUCAGUAGCUGGUCUGAGAGGACGAUCAGCCACACUGGGACUGAGACACGGCCCAGACUCCUACGGGAGGCAGCAGUGGGGAAUUUUCCGCAAUGGGCGAAAGCCUGACGGAGCAAGACCGCGUGAGGGAGGAAGGCUCUUGGGUUGUAAACCUCUUUUCUCAGGGAAGAAGCUCUGACGGUACCUGAGGAAUCAGCCUCGGCUAACUCCGUGCCAGCAGCCGCGGUAAUACGGAGGAGGCAAGCGUUAUCCGGAAUUAUUGGGCGUAAAGCGUCCGCAGGUGGCGAUUCAAGUCUGCUGUCAAAGCACGGGGCUUAACUCCGUAAAGGCAGUGGAAACUGAAUAGCUAGAGUGCCGUAGGGGUAGAGGGAAUUCCCGGUGUAGCAGUGAAAUGCGUAGAGAUCGGGAAGAACAUCGGUGGCGAAAGCGCUCUACUGAACGGCAACUGACACUCAGGGACGAAAGCUAGGGGAGCGAAUGGGAUUAGAUACCCC
rnacentral:rRNA from 1 species